rnacentral:rRNA from 1 species
GCGAUAUAGCGGCGAACGGGUGAGUAACACGUUGGAACCUACCUCGGACUCAGGGAUAGCCAUCCGAAAGGAUGAUUAAUACCGGAUAGUCCCGCAAGGGUAAAGCUUUUGCGGUCCGAGAGGGGCCUGCGGCCUAUCAGCUAGUUGGUAGUGUAAUAGACUACCAAGGCUACGACGGGUAUCUGGUGUGAGAGCAUGACCAGACACAAUGGAACUGAGACACGGUCCAUACUCC